GACCGCUUUGGUGGCCUAGUGGUUUGAGCAUCUGCCUUAGAUGUGGGAGGUCAUGGGUUCGACCACUAGCCGAGUCA